GGAUAACCUGCCCUUGGGUCCGGCAUAACCCCGGGAAACUGGGGAUAAUUCCGGAUAACGCACAUAUGCUGGAAUGCUUUAUGCGUAAAAUGGAUUCGUCUGCCCAAGGAUGGGUCUGCGGCCUAUCAGGUAGUAGUGGGUGUAAUGUACCUACUAGCCUACAACGGGUACGGGUUGUGAGAGCAAGAGCCCGGAGAUGGAUUCUGAGACAUGAAUCCAGGCCCUACGGGGCGCAGCAGGCGCGAAAACUUUACAAUGCGGGAAACCGUGAUAAGGGGACACCGAGUGCCAGCAUCAUAUGCUGGCUGUCCAGAUGUGUAAAAUACAUCUGUUAGCAAGGGCCGGGCAAGACCGGUGCCAGCCGCCGCGGUAACACCGGCGGCCCGAGUGGUGAUCGUGAUUAUUGGGUCUAAAGGGUCCGUAGCCAGUUUGGUCAGUCCUCCGGGAAAUCUGAUGGCUCAACCAUUAGGCUUUCGGGGGAUACUGCCAGGCUUGGAACCGGGAGAGGUAAGAGGUACUACAGGGGUAGGAGUGAAAUCUUGUAAUCCCUGUGGGACCACCUGUGGCGAAGGCGUCUUACCAGAACGGGUUCGACGGUGAGGGACGAAAGCUGGGGGCACGAACCGGAUUAGAUACCCGGGUAGUCCCAGCCGUAAACGAUGCUCGCUAGGUGUCAGGCAUGGCGCGACCGUGUCUGGUGCCGCAGGGAAGCCGUGAAGCGAGCCACCUGGGAAGUACGGCCGCAAGGCUGAAACUUAA
rnacentral:rRNA from 1 species